UGAGACAGCCAUAUCACCCUGAACAAGCCCAAUCUUGUCUAAUCUCAGAAGCUAAGCAGGACAAGGCCUGGUUAGUGCUUGAAUGAGAGAUGUUUUAA
ensembl:rRNA 5S_rRNA 5S ribosomal RNA